UACGUAGGGGGCAAGCGUUGUCCGGAUUUAUUGGGCGUAAAGAGCGUGUAGGCGGCUAGGUAGGUCCGUUGUGAAAACUCGAGGCUCAACCUCGAGACGUCGAUGGAAACCAUCUAGCUAGAGUCCGGAAGAGGAGAGUGGAAUUCCUGGUGUAGCGGUGAAAUGCGCAGAUAUCAGGAGGAACACCAACGGCGAAGGCAGCUCGCUGGGACGGUACUGACGCUGAGGCGCGAAAGCUAGGGGAGCAAACGGG
rnacentral:rRNA from 1 species